AUUUCCCCAAAAAGUCCUUUAAGUAUGGAUAUAACCUUUUAAAAUUUCAAAAAUAACCAAAUUGCAGUAAUGCAUAUAAAAUAUAAAGGAGGUGUCUGUUAGUUCAUAUAAUCCUUUUAAACAUACCGUGCAAGGCACUUUUUAAAGAUAAAGCAACAUAGAAAACCGAAAUGUCCAACAAAAGAAGAACUCCAUGUUAUUGUGCAAGUGUGAGAUAUUCUAUUUUUUACAUUUACAUAUCUGGUGAUCUUGCAGCUUCAACAUGAAAUGUGUAAUGUUUUACUUCUAUGCAUAAUAUUCCAUUCCUUGUAUUGUUUAUUCAUUUUUUAUUUUUUAUUUUAGAAGCUGAGUGUGUCUAUUUUGUGACUGGUACAUCAAUUUGAAAUAUUUUGUCAUAUUUGCAGUCGAGCUGUUAUAUAUACACAGUGUUUGAAGCUUUGUGCAACAAUCUGUUCUCUGCCAUUAUAAUAAGUCUGACUGUUUAUGUUAUGCAAGUAAAGUGCAUUUAAAUAAUUCUUUG